rnacentral:sRNA from 1 species
UUUGGAGUGUAGCAAAAAUUUAUGUUGGAGGAACACUCCAGGCCUUACACUGGAAGAAAUGCUAAGUAACAUAAACUUUAUUACACCAGUGAAAGGAAAAAAAACAAAACAAAAACACUAAAGCCACAGUUUAUAGAACAUUUAAUUAUACAUUACAUGACUCAUUCUAAAAAGUUCAUUUCAAAACAUGUAUAAGUAACUUUUUAGAACUAGAUGUGAGUCUUUGAACAAGAAACAAUGCAAUGAGCUUUGGUUCCACAGUUAAUCUCAGAUGAGAUAAAAGUCAAAUUAAAAUAAAAAAUUGAAAAUCUCUUUAGAUUCUUGAACAAGGGAAAACAAUUCUAAAAAAAAAAUAAAGGCGCUAAAACACCAGUCUGACUUACCUGAAGUAAAUUUGAUUAUUUAUGUUGCUAAAUAAACUCAGGAUGUCAAAACUGAUCCAAACAGAACAGAUUAAGUGUCUCACAUAUGAAUAGAUAUCAAUAAAGCUUAAGAUAGAUCAGAUGUACACAUUGGCUGACUGAAAGGUUUAGUUACAGUUUACAAAAUACAACUAGUAGAUGACACAAUGACAUGGAUGGUAACUUGUUUACAAUCUAAUGAGUAUUAUGAUAACAGGAACCUACACAAAGAUCAACAAAUCCAUCCUAAAAACAACUGACAUUCCCAACAAAUCCAUCCUAAAAAAAACAACUGACAUUCCCAACAAAUCCAUCCUAAAAAAACAACUGACAUUCCAAGUCAAAAGAUGAUAAGGUUCAUAUAUUUUUUUUAUUUACCUUGCAUUGUUAAUCACAGAUCUACUUUACAUAUAACCAUAGGAAUGACACAUUUUUUUGGGGGAAAAAAAGAGUUUCCUGUAUGUGGUACAAGCAAAACAUUCCAACUGUACAACUCAAAUCUAUUAUUAAUCACUUGAUAUAUUUUAAAAACAUUAAACUGAAAAUAUAACAAAAUAAUUCUAAUUUGAAAUAUUAUAGAUAGGGCUUAAUUUGAUAUAAUAUAUCCACCCUGUUUAAAUUACCAUAUUUUGCACCAUUGAAUGCACUUCAAAGGGGGGAGGCAAAGUCGUUUUUACAAACGGCACUGCAAGACUAGAGAGCUCUCAUGAAGACCAUAGGCUAUAUUUGAGGCCCAAAGGAAAGCCUUGCCUAAAGAUAAGUGCAGAAGAUGGAAAGAAUAACUUAAAUGGAACGUGGGCAGACAGCAGCUUUGCUUGCAUUAGAAGUGGCAAAAUAUGUAGGUCAUAACUGGUUUUAGGUGAUGUUAAACACUCACUCAUCUAUAAUCUUCAGAAUCGAUCCUAUAGCCAUUAUUAUUAUAAUUAUUGCAAGACUAUGAUGUCAUUGCCAAAAGCACACUGUCUGUCUGUUCAGCAGGUCUUCAGUAACCAGACCAAGUCUGUACACACAGGAUUACAUCCACUUCAUCAAAGUGUGUCCAUACACUAUUCUUGUAUUUUGUGACAGGAAAAAUACCAGUCUCAAGCUACUUUAACAAAUAGUACAACAGAAAAGGAGAUGACUAAGCCUAACCCAAACAGAGAAGCUAGCAAGCAAGUUACAAUUUUAUCAACAAGAUUUGAAAGAACUAGAUAAACAGAAAGCUAAACGGCAUCCAUGACAAGGGUAUGGUCAUUAUCAACAGGUAAAUAACAUUUUAAUAUUUCAUAGUAGACAUGUCAUAGAAAGCUACAAUGGACAUUUAACUGUUACUGGUGGACAAAACCAAACAUGUACAAAAUAACAGCUACAAUCACUUGAAAUGAUCAAUGCAUGGUGGAAAUGUCUCUUUGGUGAUCCAUACAAUUGGAGAUAUCACAAUUUGAGUUCAAAUACAAGUGCAAACUAUCAAUCUAAAAGACAAUAACAAAGAGCACUUUCUUCUAUCAAACUCCAUACAAUUUACAGGGUGGUUUGUUCACUUCUAGUGGAUAGCAUGACAUGAUUUAAUACACUCAUCCUUGGUAACAAGCCUUGUUGAGAAAGUAAGGUUACUCUGUACAAUUAAGUCAAGUAUUUGUGCUAAAUAAUAUUGGCAGCAAGCAUCACUAAUUUAUCAUUAAGCCUCUUAAAGGAUUCAUUUUGAAAAACAAAAACCACAACAAACAAACUGUAAAUAAUGCUUUUACUCUACAAAUCAGAAACGGAUGGUAUAGUUAGAAUGUUAUCAACUGAGAAAAAGUUUUACAAGUUUCACAAGUUUUACAAAUCUAGUUAGAAGAUAGAUGGGUAGAGGUAAGUUACAGAAUGAGAAGAUUAGAUUCUUAUUUCAGGUCUAGUAAUUUAGUGUAUAUGAAUCUAUCAUUAUUGUUUUCCAGGUCAUGUAUCUACAAUUAGAAAUCAAGGAGUUUUCAAAGGAAGGAGAAUGAGAAGAAGACUAUGCCUGCCAUUAAAGAAUGGAUGAAGCAAACACGGAAUGUCAGUGUGCUAAAUACCACAGAUUGGGGUCAACUUGCCUAAUUGACCCUCAGAUCUGUAAUUUAUUAUCUCUGGACAUUAAAGGCCAAGGGAAAUAAG